GGCAGCUUCUGUAACAUGACUAAUUUUUCCAGGUUCUAAUUAUCCAUUGCUCCUGUUGUUGCUUUUGAUAAGCGUGUCUUGGAUCUGAGCCUAUCCUGCUGUAGCUGCUUGCCAACAUUGGUGCUGACAAAGGGGAAGCCUUACAUCAAAAGCAAAGAGAAGCCAAAUUUCUGUACGAGCUGGAGCUGCAGACCUAUAAUAAGUGAAAGAGAUCGGCAACAGAAGGAUGGGUGAAGACAAAGGCAAAUCUGAAGGAAGAAGGAAAGGAAAUAUGCUUCAAUGAAAGUCUGAUUAAGAGUGGGCAAAAAUAAAAAUCAGUUAAUUUUUUUUUUUUUUUCAGGGUUGGCAGUUUGUGGUGGGAAUUGUCAACCUAUUUUGGUCAUUUUUUUGCUUGUAAAUGUUUAUUUUACAGUCUUCUUGGUUCAUAAUAACUGUUUCAGAUAUCUCAGAGGUAACAAAUGUUGGUAAAAUAAUUCUAGUGAAACAUAGCUCUCUGCAGUUUCAAGGCUGAGGUGAAUCAUGCUAUGCUGCCUCUGUCAUUAUGUCUCUGUUACUUUCAAAACCUGGUGAAUCAUAUUUGUUGAACACAAAUGUUGAUAUUCUGCAAUGAAACUAAAGCCAUAGUAACAGAAGUGGCAUAAGAAACAGCUGCUGUCAUUUCAGAUAGGUGAGCCUACUGCUUUAACCUGAAAGCAGAGAUGAGCAGAAAUCCUGUUUGUCACAGAGCUGCUCUGUAAGGACUAGAUUAAGAGUUGCACCAGCCAGAACUAGAUGAUACAGUUUUAUCUAACCUGAAGCUGAUAAUCCAGUGCCGGUGCUUAACAAUUCUAAUACACUUCUGACCUUUUGGGACUGAAUGUGAGAGCGGUUGCAAUGACACGAGGCCAAUUGUUGUGUGCAGAGUCACUCUGGCUUUGCACUUACUGAGGCUUUUCCUUACUGCUUGGACCCCUAUGCUUUUCCAGAGUAGUGAAAACAUUAAGGAUAAGUCAUGCUAGUAGUGCCAGAAUUGUUGAUACAAAUAUCAAUAAAACCUCACAAAGUACAAAUGAAUUUGUGUUGGGAGCAGUGUUGGUAGUUAGAGGAAUACAUGUGGGAAUUGCUUGUAAAUAGAACUGUGGGGAUGAGAUUCUUUGUCAGCCGUCAGGAAGUGCUGCUGGUAUUUGUCCUCAGACAUGGUUUAGUUAAACAAAACUGCUUGUCUAAUGUGUUACUAAGAGCUGUGUUCAUGUUACAGGGGUUUGAAAUCCAGAUGUCCAUCAUGCUGGAAAGAACAGUAGAGUAUUUUACAUUUUUUAGGACAAUUAAGUUUAUUUUAGUACUGUUGAUGGACAUCUCUUUGUUGUGUUGAGUGAAAAACAGUAUUUUAAUGCAUGAUUUGAUUAGGUUUGCACUACAUUGUACUACUUUAUGGUUUUGAGAGAACUCCAAGGCUGAGGAGCCUGUGCUGCUUAUUCUUCCACAUUUAUUUAACUGCUGAGAUGUCAGAAAGUUGACUUUUUUUUUUUUUUUAAGAAAGAUAUUUUCCUGCAGCAGUAGCUCAGUGAGUCCUUGUGGUUUAUCUUGAGGAAGCUGCCUUUUGCAAUAGUGCACACAUUUAAGGUUAACCAGUUUUUGCUUUGAAAGAGCUCCAAUGCAAGAUUAAACUAGUUGAUCUUUUGUUCUCAUAUAUGCUAUGAGUGGGUUUGCCUAUGAUUUAUUUGUUUAUGACCUAGGAUGUCCAGCCCAUUCUAUACCCCAGGAGCUAAUCUUUCACACUUGGAUAGCCAAGACUUUUUUGGAACAUGUUGUAUUCAAUCUUGAAUGCUG